rnacentral:rRNA from 1 species
AAGUCCGCAACGAGCGCAACCCUUAUCCUUUGUUGCCAGCGGUCCGGCCGGGAACGUCAAAGGAGACUGCCAGUGAUAAACUGGAGGAAGUGGGGAUGACGUCAAGUCAUCAUGGCCCUUACGACCAGGGCUACACACGUGCUACAAUGGCGCAUACAAAGAGAAGCGACCUCGCGAGAGCAAGCGGACCUCAUAAAGUGCGUCGUAGUCCGGAUUGGAGUCUGCAACUCGACUCCAUGAAGUCGGAAUCGCUAGUAAUCGUGGAUCAGAAUGCCACGGUGAAUACGUUCCCGGGCCUU